GCAGCAUUUGUACGUUCAGACUAAUAUAGUCUGGGGUUAAAACGAACACAGUCCAAUGAACCUAUCAUGUUUAUUUGUUCAUUUUAUAGAUGUUACAGUGGGCAUGGGGUUACCUUUGUGAAACAAAAGCAGCAGUCAGGUCUUAGCUUUUGGUAUAUUUUCUAAAUGGAAUGCAAAUACACUUCCCUAUUAUUUAACAUUACUGCUGAUCACAGAAGAAAGAAAAGAGAGGGAAAGACAAAUUACCUAACCUGUGUUGCUGUAAUGCAUUACCUGCAGAUAUUAAAGCUCCAUUUUGUUCCCUUUUUAUUGAGCUAUGAAAAUAAGAUACUUCACUCCUUAUUGACUUUGAGCAUUUUUGUGUCCAUAUUGAUUUGAGCAAUUUUCACUUUUCUGCCUGUGUCUCUCAAGUUAUAUAAGCUGCACAGCUCCUGUGCACCAGAUUUGAUUUUCAUCCAUGCAGAGACAGCUUAAUUAAAACAUUUUUCUUUCCCACUCCAAAAGAGCUCAGGAGGAACAGAGAUAUUUUCUUACCAGAACCAUGUCUAUAUACAAAGUCAAGAUUUUCUUGGACCUGACACCAGCUGGCAGUGUUCAUCUAAGCAUGCUGAUUUGCAUUUUAUGAGCUUUAAAUCUCUUGCUGUAUUCUGAUUUCACUUCCCUCAACUUGAACACUAGGUAGAGUCAGUCACAUUUUAAUUUUCCUGAGUUUUGUAGUGUAACUGAACUGUGUGGCUGUGAUGGGGCCAGCAUGGUCCUAUGAGCUCUGCAUCAUCAUGCUGCACUGUUGUAUGGUGAGUAUGACAUCAAAGCGCAUUCCAUCCUGCACUGGUCUCUGCUCUGCAGAGCCUAAUCCCUGCUGGAGGGAACAACUGAAGUUAAAAUCCUGAGGAUAGUGCUUUAGAAUGCAUGGAGUUAAACAGGAUGGAAGAAACUGUAUGCAGAAAUCUGAAGUGAUCCUGGCUUGGAGUACGGCAUUAGGUCAGCUCGCGUGAGCCAGCUCCACGUGCUGAUGAGUCCUUCUCCCUCCUGCCUGGUGACGUCUAUGUUUGCUCAGGAGACAGAAAACAUGGGAGCAGAAGAAGAGACACGGACAUUUUCUCUACUAGAUGUAUAAAAAUGAGCAAAUCUCCA